rnacentral:rRNA from 1 species
UUGCACGCUGGCGGCAUGCUUUACCCCUGCCAGUCGCACGGCAGCGCGGGCUUCGGCCUGGCGGCGAGUGGCGAACGGGUGAGUAAUGCAUCGGAACGUGCCCAGUAGUGGGGGAUAGCCCGGCGAAAGCCGGAUUAAUACCGCAUACGACCUGAGGGUGAAAGCGGGGGACCGAAAGGCCUCGCGCUAUUGGAGCGGCCGAUGUCGGAUUAGCUAGUUGGUGGGGUAAAGGCUUACCAAGGCGACGAUCCGUAGCUGGUCUGAGAGGACGACCAGCCACACUGGGACUGAGACACGGCCCAGACUCCUACGGGAGGCAGCAGUGGGGAAUUUUGGACAAUGGGGGCAACCCUGAUCCAGCCAUGCCGCGUGCGGGAAGAAGGCCUUCGGGUUGUAAACCGCUUUUGUUCGGGAAGAAAUCCUCUGGGCUAAUACCCCGGGGGGAUGACGGUACCGGAAGAAUAAGCACCGGCUAACUACGUG